AUUGCCAUGACUGUCCAUCUGGGCCUUGAGGGAGGAUAACAAAGAGGAACCCAAACCAGAGAAAGAAAGGUGAGAUACGAAAAGAAAAGGUCUGGUUCUCUGAAGAAACACAAACCCCCAAACCCAAGAUAUCUAACUCCCAAAAUAACGUGUUCAAGAUAACAACAUUUACCCAGUAGAUUUAUAUGACUGGGACUCAGCACACUGCCUUCACUGCUGCAGCUGGGUAGCUUCUUCUCAACAACAGGAAGCUCAUGACUUUUUCAUGGUCACUAUUCCUGUAAGCCAUCCCAAUUAAAAAUUACACAGAUGGAGCACUUGGAUCUGGGAUCCUUUCAAUCAUUUAUGGAUCAAACACAACACUUCCUCCUCUUGCUAGCAACACACCUGUCGUGGCAGCACUAAUGGAGUCAGAACCAACUGCUUUAACAUUGCUGAGCCCAAAAACUGGCUGUGAACAACUGUUCUUCCUUUGGAGAAGAGAAGAUGGUCCAUGAACUGACUGCAAACAACAAACAGAAAAGAUAAAAAAAUAAAUAAAAAGAUUAAAAAAAAAAGAGAGAGAGAGAGAGAGAGAGA